UCGGGAAUUUUGGGCAAUGGGGGAAACCCUGACCCGGCAACGCCGCGUGAAGGAUGAAGUAUUUCGGUAUGUAAACUUCGAAAGAAUAGGAAGAAUAAAUGACGGUACUAUUUAUAAGGUCCGGCUAACUACGUGCCAGCAGCCGCGGUAAUACGUAGGGACCAAGCGUUGUUCGGAUUUACUGGGCGUAAAGGGCGCGUAGGCGGCAUGACAAGUCACUUGUGAAAUCUCUGGGCUUAACCCAGAACGGCCAAGUGAUACUGUCGCGCUAGAGUGCAGAAGGGGCAAUCGGAAUUCUUGGUGUAGCGGUGAAAUGCGUAGAUAUCAAGAGGAACACCUGAGGUGAAGACGGGUUGCUGGGCUGACACUGACGCUGAGGCGCGAAAGCCAGGGGAGCAAACGGGAUUAGAUACCCAUGUAGUCCCUGAGCGGGCUGGCAAGGCGCAU
rnacentral:rRNA from 1 species